rnacentral:rRNA from 1 species
GAGCGUUGUCCGGAUUUAUUGGGCGUAAAGCGAGCGCAGGCGGUUAGAUAAGUCUGAAGUUAAAGGCUGUGGCUUAACCAUAGUACGCUUUGGAAACUGUUUAACUUGAGUGCAGAAGGGGAGAGUGGAAUUCCAUGUGUAGCGGUGAAAUGCGUAGAUAUAUGGAGGAACACCGGUGGCGAAAGCGGCUCUCUGGCUUG